UACGAAGGGUGCAAGCGUUACUCGGAAUUACUGGGCGUAAAGCGUGCGUAGGCGGUUUGUUAAGUCUGAUGUGAAAGCCCUGGGCUCAACCUGGGAAUGGCAUUGGAUACUGGCAACCUAGAAUGUGGUAGAGGGUGACGGAAUUCCCGGUGUAGCAGUGAAAUGCGUAGAUAUCGGGAGGAACAUCCGUGGCGAAGGCGGCCACCUGGACCAACACUGACGCUCAUGCACGAA
rnacentral:rRNA from 1 species